rnacentral:rRNA from 1 species
UAAUACGUAGGAGGCAAGCGUUAUCCGGAUUUAUUGGGCGUAAAGAGGGCGUAGGUGGCUCUUCAAGUCGGAUGUAAAAUCUCCUGGCUCAACUGGGAGGGACCAUUCGAUACUGCUGGGCUAGAGUGCAGCAGAGGAAGGUGGAAUUCCCGGAGUAGUGGUGAAAUGCGUAGAUAUCGGGAGGAACACCAGAGGCGAAGGCGGCCUUCUGGGCUGCUACUGACGCUGAGGCCCGAAAGCGUGGGGAGCGAACAGGAUUAGAUACCCUGGUAGUCCACGCCGUAAACGAUGGACACUAGGUAUGGGGAGUAUCGACCCUCUCCGUGCCGAAGCUAACGCAUUAAGUGUCCCGCCUGGGGAGUACGGUCGCAAGACUA